GGAUGCGAUCAUACUAGCACUAAAGCACCGGAUCCCAUCAGAACUCCGAAGUUAAGCGUGCUUGGGCGAGAGUAGUACUAGGAUGGGUGACCUCCUGGGAAGUCCUCGUGUUGCAUUCCC
rnacentral:rRNA from 1 species